rnacentral:rRNA from 1 species
CGGUGUUCAACUGGCGUUUCCGCGGGACGUCCUGCCGGUGGGCUUAGCCCGCAAGGGCGGCCCAACUUCAAAUCCCAUCGCGGUGCUCUUCACUGAGUGUCGAGGUGGGCCGGCACGUUUACUUUGAACAAAUUAGAGUGCUUAAAGCAGGCUAAAACUUCGCCUGAAUACUGUGUGCAUGGAAUAAUGGAAUAGGACCUCGGUUCUAUUUUGUUGGUUUUCGGAACCCCGAGGUAAUGAUUAAUAGGAACGGAUGGGGGCAUUCGUAUUGCGACGUUAGAGGUGAAAUUCUUGGAUCGUCGCAAGACGGACAGAAGCGAAAGCAUUUGCCAAAAACGCUUUCAUUGAUCAAGAACGAAAGUUAGAGGUUCGAAGGCGAUCAGAUACCGCCCUAGUUCUAACCAUAAACGAUGCCAGCUAGCGAUCCGUCGACGUUCCUCCGAUGACUCGACGGGCAGCUUCCGGGAAACCAAAGCUUUUGGGUUCCGGGGGAAGUAUGGUUGCAAAGCUGAAACUUAAAGGAAUUGACGGAAGGGCACCACCAGGAGUGGAGCCUGCGGCUUAAUUUGACUCAACACGGGAAACCUCACCAGGCCCGGACACCGGAAGGAUUGACAGAUUGAGAGCUCUUUCUUGAUUCGGUGGGUGGUGGUGCAUGGCCGUUCUUAGUUGGUGGAGCGAUUUGUCUGGUUAAUUCCGAUAACGAACGAGACUCUAGCCUGCUAACUAGGCGUAUUUUCGACAUCUCAAAGGUCCGUCGUCCCGGCCCUCGGGUCGUGGGCGUGCGCGAUUUUUACUGUCGGCGUACUAUCAAUUCUUCUUAGAGGGACAGGUGGCUUCUAGCCGCACGAGAUUGAGCAAUAACAGGUCUGUGAUG